UUGCUGGGUAACACUAUACACAGAGUCCAGCCUAUUCCUUGUACUUCUGCUAUGUGCUGGGGGGGCUCCCAGCUGCCCUGAUGCUCCUUCUCCUCCUAUAGACACUCUCCAACCAUAUAAGAAAAUUCAAUGGAUCAGGAAUAAGCUCCUUAGCUGGGUUUGUUUAGCCUCUGCUACUAAGCGUUCACCAGCUCUGCGUGGUGCUUUUAGCUCUGACUGACCCUUUUGGAUUUCAGCUCAAGGCCAUUAGCCUCUUUAAACUCCAUGCAAAGCCUUUAGAAAUUAUGUGCACGAGCCACUAACCGCUGUGAGGCAGGAAUUAGAGUCAUCACCUGCCCUUUUGCAAGACGACAGCCUCCGUGAAGCAAGAACUAUAUUGUGGGGGAAGGCGAGAGAGAGAGUCCUGCACAAGUUCUCUUAUUGCUAUGCAUUCCAGAGCUUACUUCUUGUUGGAAAGAGAGUAUCUGGAGUAUAAAGAAGCCAACAUUUUUGGCAUCUUUGUCAUUCCUUCAAAGGAUAAUUUGCUGGAAUGGCUAGCCGAAGUCCAGGGACUCAAGGAUUCUCUUUGGGAAGGGGCUGUUCUCCAGCUGUCAAUAAAGUACACUGAAGAGUACAAUAGUGUCCCUCCAACUCUGAUAUUUAACACCAUUCCAUUCCAUCCCAAUGUGGAUCAACAUUCCGGGAGACCUUGUAUAGAUUUUCUAGACAAUCCUAAAGAGUGGAAUGGAAAGUUAACGAUGAGUAGCAUUUUACUCGCUAUCCAGGUAAUGCUUUCUAAUCCAGAACUGGAAAAUGCAGUGAAUGUGGAAGCAGCAGAAAUGCUGAAAAACAACAUAUCCUUGUACAGACAAAUGGUUAUACGAUGUGUUAGAACUAGCCAGCACCUAGAAGACCUUUCUAGCACUGGGAAAGAUUGUGCUUCUUCUCUGAAGUAUUACUUGCCAUCUGAAGCAUCUUCUCGGGGCCAUGUCAGAAGGAUUACAACCAUUUCGUUUGAAGAUUACCACAGGAUGUGGUCAGGAAUAGCCACAUCAAAAGCAACAGAACAUUUUAAAGCCCCAUUGUUUGAAGAUCCAACAUUUAUAGGGAACUGCUAUGGCUGGAAGGCAAAAAAUGUGAAAGAAACAGGAGAAUGGGAUGAGAAUACAUACAAUGCUAUUGUCUCUCAACUCAUCAGAAAGCAAAGGCAACAAACAAUAGAUGGGAAACUGAUAGAAAUUAGGAAAAUGGAACAGGACAACAACCUGCUUUACCAAACUCCAGGUUGUGCUGUUAACAUAGGGACUCCAGUCUAAAGGUUGUGUUGUAAAUAUAGGGACUCCAGUCUAAAGGCAAACUAGGAAGCUUCCCUUGGGCAGACCCUGCACCUCAGCUUAGAGUGGCAUUUGGGCAUCUCUCUCUGACUCAGGGCCAGAUUUUGAGAACAUAUUCAUGCUGAGUAGUUGCUGACUCCAUGAAUACUCCCAUUGAAGACAACAGGAUUACUGGUGCAGUAAAAUGCUAUUCAGUAUUAGUAAAGGAAUCCGAAAUCUAGUCCUUUAUGUUUUAGAGAAAGCACUAUGGGGGAACUUUGAGACUAUAUAGCUACAGGCAUUAGAACUCCUGAGGGCCUUGUCUGUUGAAAAUGAUCUCAAGCAUUGACAGAAAGAAAAAAAAAUGUGAAUGGAAAAC